CUUACUGGUAGAAUCAUACGUAUACUUAAGUUUGUAUUUUCAAUAACAAUGUCUAUUGAACAUUUCCUUUUUUUUCGUCUAAAUAUAUCAAUGAUCCACGAUUUAUAAGAAGAUUCAUUCUGUUUUAUAUAUAUAUAUAUAUAUAUAUAUAUAUAUAGAUAUUUCUCAAGAAAGAAAGAAAUAAAAUCGAUUCAAAAUUUUUUUCCUCGUCAAGAACACCAUGUGGUUUAAAUGUCGUUUCAACAAUCGUACAAUUUACACACUAACUGCACCGUGAUGGGACACGUUCACUGGGAUCGAGAUCGAGACACGCUGGAGAAUAGGUUCACCAACAGCCGCCACUCAAGAACGACUUAACAGUGUCCACCUUCGAUUUAUCAUCGGCUAUACGCAACUUCUCCUACCUCCUCACCGUUCCAUCAUCCGCUAUCGAUACGCCAAUAAAUUUAGACGAGAUACAUUCAGGGAGAGAGAGAGAGCUACAAUAACGAUAUUGGUAGAGAUAAAAAAGAAGAGAUAAAAUUCGAUCACGAUGAAGGAAUAAUAAUGGAUAUUUAAAUGUGAUCACGACGAAUGUUGUAUGAACACUGGAACAAACGCAACUCGAGAAAAUAUAGAUGAAAUACACGUAGCUUCUGGUAAAUGCGUUUCAUGACCUCGUUCUUAUCGGGACGAGGAGUCAAUCGAUGACCGCCCGCAAAUCACAGAUUGCCAUGCAUAAGGAAUAAAAUACUCGUGUUUCAUUUUAAUUUGAUGAUUACAAUCUAUAUCAAUUUAUAUAAUUAUAUUUUUCAUCUUUUAAAAAAAUGAAGAAAAAUACCAAAGCUGAUUUUACAUCGGUCAACGACUCGGUCAACAACGAGCUCCCUCACAAUAACUCUAUAAAUCUCGGGACAGGAUUUCUGCGAAUCGGAAGUCAUAAUGCUGUCGUUUCCACUUCUGAUGCUCGAUGGAACGUUGCAUAUAGAGUUGUUUGCCAGUUUUCUUUCGCUACCUCGGAAAUGAUCUCAUUUGCGCGGUAUAGAAAUAUCUUGAUGAAACUUUUUCAUCAAUCUUUCUUUCCUUUUGUGCAACUUUUUCAAAGAUACGUAUAGAAAUAAUAUAUAUAUAUAACAAUAUGUAUAGUAUCCAACUUCAAGAAAAGAGAACAGUUUGAAAACACAAAAAAUUUCAAAUUUCAUAAAUAAAAUCAUCGAAUUGCAGAUCUAUAGGACUUUCAACGCGAAUGAAAUGUUGAAAAAGUCAAGUCUGCUCGCAGCCAAGACUACGUACGAAUGAUAUAAAUAUACUGGGACAAGUUGUUAAAGUUACUAUUCGACAUCUCGACUCGUUGCUUGAUUAACGAGAUACUUAUUUUCAAAGGUAGUAAUUUAUAAUGACAUUUUUUUUCACGUUUUGUGAAUUGAAAAUUGGAAAAAAAAAAGACAUUCACAAAUAAUAUAGUCAAAUCUUCGUGGACAAUUGAUUGUAACAACGAACUGGAAUGUUGGAUUGCAUCUACUAUAUCUACAAUUAUAAAGAGAAAAUUUUUUUUUCAAAAAAAUAUAUUCCCAAUUAUUUAUUUGAUUUUAUAUAUCAAGUAUUGUAAAAGAGCCGAGUCAUUAAACUUGAAUAUACAUGUAGGUUAUCACGAUAUUUGACCUGGUUCUGAUAGUUUCAUAAAAGAUAUUUUCAUAAAAGAAAAAUAACACAUUGUACAUUUCCUUUUUCGUAUUUUUCUUAAUAUAUAUAUAUAUAUAUGGGAGAAUUAAUGCAGAACGUUUAGUCGUUCGAUCACGAUCAAUCAUUUCUUCAUCCUAAAGGGGAAUCGAUGUGAGUCAUUGUCUCGGUCGUGACCUCUUGCUCGAUGACUAAUUUCUCGGCUGAUCUUAUGUUAAAUCACCGCAGAUAUGUGAGAACAACCGACUCUCGCGAACAAUCGCGUUGUGAAGGCGGUUUUCAUUGUUCUGUCUAGUCAUGCACGAUGCGGUCAUAUUCAAAAUUAUAAAGAGCCGAAUCAAAGGUGUAACUCAUUUCCUCCCUCGUCUCUAAAAAUAUCCCACUUUCUUUUUAAAGAUUCGAUCGAUUGAACAAACGUUUAUAUUUUUCAAUCAACUCUUCUCAAGGAAUUUCCAUAGAAACGAACGAACGUACAAGACUUACUAAUGUUUGAAUUAACUUUCUACUGGUAGAGAUGACUAUAUGAAUCGACAUGCGGUUGCUCGAUCGCUGUCUCGUUACGCAAACACCGACAUGGUGAUAAAAAAAAAAAAAAAAAAAAAAAAAAUAA
rnacentral:lncRNA from 1 species